GGUUGGUCUUUUAGGAAGAACUGGCUCAGGGAAAAGUACGCUGCUUUUUGCUUUUUUAAGACUCUUGACCACAGAAGGAGAUAUUCAAAUUGAUGAUGUCUCCUGGAACACCGUCUCUGUGCAACAGUGGAGAAAAGCAUUUGGAGUAAUACCUCAGGUAAAUUUACACUAGCCUGUAAAAUAAGUUUUUACAUAAAUCAAUCUGCCCAAAAUUGUACUUUGUUGAUGCACUAAACUUCAAAUUGAUUUAAAGUUAGAAAAGUGGAAAAGAAAUAAAACCAGACCAGAUAGAUAUAAGACUUAAGAGUAGGACAGAACGUGUGUGCAUUCUUGUCUUCCCUGUUUGCAGGGCCUUCUCUGUAGUGGCACCCUAGUGAUGGAAUUCCCUCCCCCUGGACACAAGGAUAACCCUCACAGUACUGGGCUUCUGUCAUGAAGUAAAAAUGUAUCUGUUUACCCAAGACAUUGGUGGAAUUAUGUUAAAAGAUUAGCAACUUCAUAGCUGAGUUUUGUAAGAACUCGUGAGUGGAUCCUAUCUGGACCCAGUAACGUGUUAGUUUUUAGUUUGUCAGACAGGCCCACACCUUAAUUUCCUAUCACCGCUAUUUACCUCAGUUCCUUAUACGCCUUUCUUAAGAAAGUUAAUCCGGU